rnacentral:rRNA from 1 species
UACGUAGGGGGCAAGCGUUGUCCGGAAUCAUUGGGCGUAAAGCGCGUGUAGGCGGCCAGGUAAGUCCGUUCUGAAAGCCCGGGGCUCAACCCCGGGAGGCGGAUGGAUACUGCUUGGCUCGAGUCCGGAAGAGGCGAGUGGAAUUCCCGGUGUAGCGGUGGAAUGCGUAGAGAUCCGGAAGAACACCGGUGGCGAAGGCGGUCUGCUGGGCGAGUUGCUGGACACUGAGGCGCGACAGCGUGGGGAGCAACAGG